AGUGGAAAGACUCUGACAUAACUUUCCUAUAUACAAUAUGAAUACAUCACAGUGAAUCUCAACAACAUGUACAUCCAUAAGACUUGGAUCCUAAUUAGAAAAAGAUAUAUUCUAUGCUUGUAAAAAUGUAUCAAAAUAUAUUCUACUGUCAUAUAUAACUAAAAAUAGCAAAUAAAAUUUCUUGUUGUUGUUGUUGUUGUUGUUUUAAAGCCACAGAUGGUUUAACUCUAUGUAUUGUAGAGAAGGUUCAAUAAUGUCAGAAAAUUGGACAAUAGUUAGUAGGGUUUGGGUUAGGGUCAGUGAUUGAAUAUGUUAAUGAUGAAAUCUGAAAAUGCAGGGAAUGGCCCUAUGAGCAUGUGUUAGCCAAAUUGACUUCCAAAUGCCUUCCUAAGGAAUGACAUGAAAUUAUCAUCACCCCAAAUCAAACACAGAGAGGGAAGAAGAAGGAUAUCUGUGAUGUAGUAUCUGUAAUGGAAUAUGCUCAAGAGCUCACAAGGAUGGUGGAGGCAGAGAAGUGUGUAAAAGUCAGGUAGGGGGUAAAACUUCAAUAAACAUGGAGGUGAGCUGACUUAACACUUUCUUCACAGCCUGUCUCUAAGCUUUUGGUACUUGAGCUUGAUGUUGCUGUCAGGAGCAUUGGUUUUCUUGGACCUGAUACCAUCACAACUGGAUAUCUUUUAUGGUGAUCUGGAAGACAUGGUUUUCUAUUUUUAAUGUGCCUGAGGCAGAACAGCUGAAUCCUCUUCCUAUAGGUGAACCAUGGCCACUGGGGGAUGAAUGUCUCCGUGUGUGCAUUGUGUAUC
rnacentral:lncRNA from 1 species